UACAGAGGGGGCGAGCGUUGUUCGGAAUUAUUGGGCGUAAAGGGCGCGUAGGCGGUGCGGUAAGUCACCUGUGAAAUCUCCUGGCUCAACUGGGAGCUUGCAGGCGAAACUGCCGUGCUUGAGUGUGGGAGAGGUGCGUGGAAUUCCUGGUGUAGCGGUGAAAUGCGUAGAUAUCAGGAGGAACACCUGUGGCGAAAGCGGCGCACUGGACCACAACUGACGCUGAGGCGCGAAAGCUAGGGGAGCAAACAGG
rnacentral:rRNA from 1 species